GAUGAACGCUGGCGGCGUGCCUAAUACAUGCAAGUCGAGCGAACAGACGCGGAGCUUGCUGCUCUGACGUUAGCGGCGGACGUGUGAGUAACACGUGUAUAACCUACCUGUAAGACUGGGAUAACUUCGGGAAACCGGAUCUAAUACCGUAUAAUAUCUUGAACCGCGUGGUUCAAUAGUGAAAUACGGCGUUGCGGUCAGUUCUAGAGGGAUCCGCGCUGCAUUAGCUAGUUGGUAAGUUAAAGGCUUACCAAGGCAACGAUGCGUAGACGACGUGAGAGAGUGAUCGGCCACCCUGGAGGUGAGACACGCACAAGACUCCUACGAGAGGCAGCAGUAGGGAAUCGUACGCAGUGGGCGAGAGCAUGACGGAGCGACGCCGCGUGUGUUAUAGAGGCCUUCGGAGCGUAAUAAUCUGUUAUGAGGGAAGAACAGAUGUGUAAGUAACUGAGCACAUCUUGACGGUACCUAAUAAGAAAGCCACGGCUAACUACGUG
rnacentral:rRNA from 1 species